rnacentral:rRNA from 1 species
ACACAAGUAUUAAAGGUCCUGCCUGCCCAGUGAACAAUUUUAAACGGCCGCGGUAUUCUAACCGUGCAAAGGUAGCGUAAUCACUUGUCUUCUAAAUAAAGACCAGUAUGAACGGCUAAAUGAGGACAGACCUGUCUCCUACAAUUAAUCAGUGAAACUGAUCUCCCAGUCCAAAAGCUGGAAUAUAAACAUAAGACGAGAAGACCCUGUGGAGCUUAAAAUUUACCUGGUAAUAAACAACCAGCAUAAGAUUUUAAGUUGGGGCGACUUCGGAAUAAAACAAAACUUCCAAGCACAGAACCACCAGUUCUAACCAAGGCAGACAAGCCAAAGCAAACAGCCGACCCAGUCACACUGACCAACGAACCAAGUUACCCCAGGGAUAACAGCGCCAUCCUCUUCAAGAGUCCUUAUCGACAAGAGGGUUUACGACCUCGAUGUUGGAUCAGGGCACCCAAAUGGUGCAGCCGCUAUUAAAGGUUCGUUUGUUCAACGAUUA